UGGGUCGGAGUCGGCGGCGCGGAGUCGCUUACUGUACCAGCACCUCGCUAGCUCUAAGGAGGUGGCUGGGCCACUCCAGGAAGCUCGACAUCUAAUAACAUAAACUCAGAGGGCUCCCCACAUUCAUCUUCUACACAGACCCGCCUGUCCUGCCAACGGGCCAGUGCUUCGUGACUCUCCUCAUGCUCCGGAGGGCUGCGUGGUCACCCUUCUAGUUGUUUUUUGAACCCAUCCCAAGCUUGUGUCAAAAACGCGGGUGAUGGAUUCCCCGUGCCAUCAGCGCGAGCCAUGGAAUAGAAUAUAUCACACAUUUACGCCACAUGGGCUGGUAAACAACACAGCGUGUACUCGACUUCAUAAACACGCUGCCUUGUUACAAAGACCGCUGCAAAUGCAGUGUGAUAGGACUUGACCUUAAAAGCUAUCGACAAUCUAGCCCAGCACAGACGGUUUCGUGGAGUACAAUCACUUCCUGGAAUUCUUGGGCCAGCGAAGUCGGAGCCGAGCAAAUCCUGUUUUCCUUGCAUUGUUUCCUGCAUGUGAAUAUCAUCAGUCUACCAGGGCAAAAGGCCUGCGUUUUCAAAAUACAGAAGUCGCCUCACCUGGUGAAUUUUUACGGAACUCCUAGCAAGGGAAUGCAGUUGAAGAAUCGAAUAAGUGAUGAUGUGUCGAGAACAUGACCGGAAUCAGCUUGACCAAGAUUCAGAAAGUUACAUGGAGCUUCAUGUAUGACAGAUGUUCCCUGAGAUAAUCUGGCAAUGAAUACAGAUUCGGGGCUGACAUAGAAGGCACAAACAUACUUGGAAUAAGAUAACUGCAACUGAGGACAAUGGAAGUAAUAUGAAUAUUCUCUUUUCCUUAAAGUGUUUGACAUAGUAUCUGUUAGUUUAAGAACUUGGGUGGCUCCUUUCUGACGUUUUGGCUAUUUCAAAUAAAAAUACAACUCUGAAGAGUCCUUGCAAUGACACGGUCUCCGUGUCUGUUCUGCAUAGUUUCAUCAUUACAACUGCUAGCUAUAGGCUGAAAAAUUAUUGUCAGUUUUUUUUCUCCUUUUCAUUAAACCACAUCUGGAACAAGAAUAAACAAAUAUCUUUGCACAGUGAUGAAUUGGAUCUCAUUUUGGCUGAUUCAGGCCUGGGCGAUGGCUCUCAAAUUCUUGCCUUUGAGUCUGAACCUGUUGAGUCAUCAGAAACCAGCCAUGCCAGGGUGCUAGAUGCUGGUGGAGUGGAAAUUCAAGGCCACUGAAGGACCCAGAGCAAGAAAAUAUUAUGUUCUGGGUUACCUGGGAGAUGAGCACAUUUCAACUUGCCUACACAUGCAUGAAAAGAAAAUAGGAGGUCUUUCAACUCCUUCACAAAUCUCUCUCCUGGUCAUGAGAAAUCAAAGACCAUGGAUGACACCGGUUAGGGUCAAGUUUUCUCAAACUCACAUGUUAGCCCAGCCCCGGGUUCAAUAGAGGGAGGAAUAAUCGU